rnacentral:rRNA from 1 species
ACGGGAGGCAGCAGUGGGGGAUACUGCGCAAUGGGGGAAACCCUGACGCAGCAACGCCGCGUGAAGGAAGAAGGUCUUCGGAUUGUAAACUUUUGUCUUUUGGGACGAAGAAAGUGACGGUACCAAAGGAGGAAGCCACGGCUAACUACGUGCCAGCAGCCGCGGUAAUACGUAGGUGGCAAGCGCUGUCCGGAAUUACUGGGUGUAAAGGGCGUGUAGGCGGGUAAUCAAGUCAGAUGUGAAAUACCGAGGCUCAACUUCGGGGCUGCAUUUGAAACUGAAUAUCUUAAGUGCAGGAGAGGAAAGCGGAAUACCUAGUGUAGCGGUGAAAUGCGUAGAUAUUAGGAGGAACACCAGUGGCGAAGGCGGCUUUCUGGACUGUAACUGACGCUGAGGCGCGAAAGCGUGGGUAGCAAACAGGAUUAGAUACCCUGGUA